rnacentral:tRNA from 1 species
UGGUACUUAGUUUAAACAAAACAAAUGAUUUCGACUCAUUAAACUAUG